CACGUAGGGCGCAAGCGUUGUCCGGAAUUAUUGGGCGUAAAGAGCUCGUAGGCGGUCUGUUGCGUCCGCUGUGAAAACUCGGGGCUUAACCCCGAGCCUGCAGUGGAUACGGGCAGACUAGAGGUAGGUAGGGGAGAAUGGAAUUCCCGGUGUAGCGGUGAAAUGCGCAGAUAUCGGGAGGAACACCGGUGGCGAAGGCGGUUCUCUGGGCAUUACCUGGACGCUGAGGAGCGAAAGUGUGGGGAGCGAACAGGAUUAGACUACC
rnacentral:rRNA from 1 species